rnacentral:rRNA from 1 species
GACGAACGCUGGCGGCGUGCCUAAUACAUGCAAGUCGAACGCAGUGGGGACGGUUGAGUAACACGUGGGUAACCUCCCAUCAGAGGGGAUAACACUUGGAAACAGGUGCUAAACCGAUACUGAUUGAUGAACCCGCGGUGCAUUAGCUAGUUGGUGAGGUAACGGCUCACCAAGGCCACGAUGCAUAGCGGACCUGAGAGGGUGAUCGGCCACACUGGGACGGAGACACGGCCCAGACUCCUACGGGAGGCAGCAGUGGGGAAUAUUGGACAAUGGGGGCAAGCCUGAUGCAGCCAUGCCGCGUGUAUGAAGAAGGCCUUCGGGUUGUAAAGUACUUUCGGCGGGGAGGCGGUACCCGCAGAAGAAGCACCGGCUAACUCCGUGCCAGCAGCCGCGGUAAUAC